rnacentral:rRNA from 1 species
UACGAAGGGUGCAAACGUUGCUCGGAAUUAUUGGGCGUAAAGCGCACGUAGGCGGCUUUGUGUGUCGGAUGUGAAAUCCCUCGGCUUAACCAAGGAAGUGCAUUCGAAACUGCAAAGCUUGAGUACUUAAGAGGAUCGCGGAAUUCCCGGUGUAGAGGUCGAAAUUCGUAGAUAUCGGGAGGAACACCAGUGGCGAAGGCGGCG